GAGAUGACAUGAGAGAAUGAAGUCCUUCACAGAAAAGGUACAGCAUGGGCACUGGUGGUGGAGGCUUCCCCAUGCUUCCCCAUCAAUGUGCUAUGCCCUGAACUGAAUGACCUUGAGGAAUGAGAGAUUAGUUCAAUCUUUAGGUCUAUUCAGUCAGAACUGCC
ensembl:misc_RNA